rnacentral:rRNA from 1 species
GAUGAACGCUGGCGGCGUGCCUAACACAUGCAAGUCGAGCGAAGCACUUUGCUUAGAUUCUUCGGAUGAAGAGGAUUGUGACUGAGCGGCGGACGGGUGAGUAACGCGUGGGUAACCUGCCUCAUACAGGGGGAUAACAGUUAGACAUGACUGCUAAUACCGCAUAAGACCACAGCACCGCAUGGUGCGGGGGUAAAAACUCCGGUGGUAUGAGAUGGACCCGCGUCUGAUUAGCUAGUUGGUAAGGUAACGGCUUACCAAGGCGACGAUCAGUAGCCGACCUGAGAGGGUGACCGGCCACAUUGGGACUGAGACACGGCCCAAACUCCUACGGGAGGCAGCAGUGGGGAAUAUUGCACAAUGGGGGAAACCCUGAUGCGGCGACGCCGCGUGAGCGAAGAAGUAUUUCGGUAUGUAAAGCUCUAUCAGCAGGGAAGAAAAUGACGGUACCUGACUAAGAAGCACCGGCUAAAUACGUGCCAGCAGCCGCGGUAAUACGUAUGGUGCAAGCGUUAUCCGGAUUUACUGGGUGUAAAGGGAGCGUAGACGGAUGGGCAAGUCUGAUGUGAAAACCCGGGGCUCAACCCCGGGACUGCAUUGGAAACUGUUCAUCUAGAGUGCUGGAGAGGUAAGUGGAAUUCCUAGUGUAGCGGUGAAAUGCGUAGAUAUUAGGAGGAACACCAGUGGCGAAGGCGGCUUACUGGACAGUAACUGACGUUGAGGCUCGAAAGCGUGGGGAGCAAACAGG